rnacentral:rRNA from 1 species
CCUACGGGGGGCAGCAGUGGGGAAUAUUGGACAAUGGGCGCAAGCCUGAUCCAGCAAUGCCGCGUGAGUGAUGAAGGCCUUCGGGUCGUAAAGCUCUUUUACCAGGGAUGAUAAUGACAGUACCUGGAGAAUAAGCUCCGGCUAACUCCGUGCCAGCAGCCGCGGUAAUACGGAGGGAGCUAGCGUUGUUCGGAAUUACUGGGCGUAAAGCGCGCGUAGGCGGCGACACAAGUCAGAGGUGAAAGCCCGGGGCUCAACCCCGGAACUGCCUUUGAAACUAGGUUGCUAGAAUCUUGGAGAGGUCAGUGGAAUUCCGAGUGUAGAGGUGAAAUUCGUAGAUAUUCGGAAGAACACCAGUGGCGAAGGCGACUGACUGGACAAGUAUUGACGCUGAGGUGCGAAAGCGUGGGGAGCAAACAGGAUUAGAUACCCCAGUAGUC